rnacentral:lncRNA from 1 species
GGCCACAUCCACGGCGUAUGGAGGCUCCUAGACUAGGGGUGGAAGCAGAGCUACAGCUGGCAGCUUACACCACAGCCACAGACAGCAACGUGGGAUCCAAGCCGAGUCUGCCACCUACACCACAGCCCACAGCAACGCCAGAUCCUUAACCCACUGGGCGAGGCCAGGGAGAGAACCCACAUCCUCAUGGAUCCUAGUCAGGUUUGUUAACCGCUGAGCCACGAAGGGAACUCCCAGAAAUUGUGGUGUUUUAAACCACCUGAUUGGUGGUAAUUGGCUGCCGCAGCGCUGACAAACUCGUAUGCACAUUAGCAGAAAACCUUCUCUUUUGUAUCCAGAUGGGUACCACUUUGCAAAGAUGUGCAUCUCUUGCUGGCUCUCUGUAACACCCCAAGAAACGGAUGGACAAACCGACUCCCCUGCAUUCAGCCCAUCAGCUCUAAAUUUGAGCAAUGCUCCUCCAAUUUCCCUGGUUUUAUACACACUCGUUUAUGUGGGAGUGUAGUUCCGUGCAGUUUUAUCCCAUGAGCAAGUUCGUGUAAUCAGACCAUAAUCAAAACCCAGAAUAGCAAAGCCUCCCUUAUCCCACCCCUUUUUUCCUUAACAAUCACCUCCUCCCUCAACCUCUGGCAACCACUUGUUCCCCAUCUUUCCAAUUUUGUUGUCUAAAUACUGUUCCCUAAAUCAGACAGAAUGUCAUCUUUAUUCGGAAAAAUUCCCUUGCAGUCCACCCAAACAUCAGUAGUUUGGGGGGGUUUUUUGGUUUUGUUUUGUUAUUUCUUUUUUAGGGCCACUUCUUCAGCCUAUGGAAGUUCCCAGGCCAGGGGUCCAAUCGGAGCCACAGCUGCCAGCCUACACCACAGCCACAGCAACAUCAGAUCUGAGCCGUGUCUGUGACGUACAGCACAGCGCAUGGCAAUGCCAGAUCCUUAACCCACUAGGCAAGGCCAGGGAUCAAACCCGCAUCCUCAUGGAUCCUGGUGGAGUUCAUUAACUGCUGAGCCACAAAGGGAACUCCCCAAAUAUCAGCAGGUCAUUCCUUUUUUGGGGCCCAGGACUAUUCCAUGAUCUGCAUGUGCUAUCAUGGUUGAUCUAACCAUUCAGCUGUGGAAGAACCUUUGAGCUGUUUUCAAAAACGUGGUUUGUGGAACAUCAUUCAUUCACUUGCUAACAUUUGUUGUGCACCUACUAUGGGCAGUGAUUGUGAUAAGUCUCUGGAAUGCAAAGCAAAAUAGAACAGGGUCCCCACACUUGAGGCGCUCAUGGGCUAGUGGGAGUCGGGGGGAGGGUGCUUCAAUGACAGCCUGACACCUGCCUGUGAUCAUUAAAUACUCAGGAACAUGGAACAAGAACCUUGUGAAAGCACUGACAGAAAAGCCUUAGGGUGCACAGGGUUGGGCUGGGGCAUCAGUGAGUUGGAUCUUGAAGGAUGGGUAAGAGUUUGUCGGGAGAAGACCAAGAAUCCUUCAGCAGGGGAGCAGGACUGGCCAAGACGUGUGCCGUGAGGGUUUGUUCUUAUCUCCCUCCCUCAACAGAGAGGAUUACUCACCUUCCUACGGGCGGAAAUGUGCCUCUGACAACCAGGAUUAUCUGUUUUACUGGAUAUGAUUCAACAGAAAAGAAUGCUGUGCUCAUUAAAAAUUCUGACGACAUUAUGACUCCGGGGCCCAUUAUCUCAAAAUUUACUCCAUGUACCCGAAAGGUUUUAACCCUCGAUAUAAGCCUAACAGUUCUGCUUUCUAUCACCCCCAUCUCCCUUUUAUCAGGCAAAUUGGCCUUACAUUUCCCUCCACUAGCCUCCCCCCAUGUGACUUCCGCCCUGGGUGUAAUAAGCAAUUUCCCCUCAUGGCUGAGACUGGACACAGCCCAGGAUCUCAAGUUUGAGUGUCCUGUCGAGGAGUUCCCUUCGUGGCUCAGUGGUUCAUGAAGCCGACUAGGAUCCAUGAGGAUGCAGUCAGACUUAUUUCCGCUGAGCCAUGACAGGAACUCCUGCUUCUCUACAUUUUCAGUAUCCUCUUGGAAAUGCAAAUAUCUAGGAAAGAGUAGAAUCUCUGGGGAAUGUCCUAAAAUAGAAGCGUCAGCUGAGUUCAGGAGAAAGGUUUGAUUUUCAAACACCAGAUUGUUCUAGAAGAGGUGAGCCUGAACAGACUACCUCUGUGAGGGUAUCCUACAUGUCGUGGGCCAGAACAAGAGGAGGUAUCGGAGGAAGCGGUGGGUAAGAACCACAUGUCAAAUGUACCUUUGUCCCAACUUUUAAUUGUUUCAUAAUAAAAUCUGUAGCUAUUUUAAAAAGUAGACUGAAUGUACCCUUUGGACAAGGAACCAAAGUUAUUUGUAUAUGAGAGACAAAUGCAGCCAUUAUCAAAUAGAAUUUUAAAUAUUUAAGUACAUGGAAAACUAUUCAUCAGUAGGAAAAACAGCUAGAAAACCAUAUGCAGAACAAUCAUAAUCCGAAGGAAGGAAGAUGCGAGGGAAAAGAAAACCCAUCACAGUGUCACUGGUCCAUCCACAAGGUGUGUGUCUCGCCCUGUCGUUUUUCAAAAUCUCUACCACAAAUGUGCUCCAGUAUUAAGAGAACUAGCAAAAUACAUUUACAUGGGGCCGGGCGGGGUGGGAGGGAGACUUUCUCUGAUGUUAAUCCUUAUGCCAUCUGCAUGAACCUCGGAGAUAAGCCAUCACAGCCCCUGCUAUGGUGACCCCUUCACAUAGUUCAGGUGGGUUUUGCCCCUCAUUGCUGAGUUCCUGCUCCUGGCUCCACCCCUCACGUGCCCUAGGUCUCAGCUGCGAGAUGGGGUCACACAGCAAAUCCACAGUCUUUGCAGGUAUACGCAUGGCAGUCAAGACGAGAAGGGAUUUUAAGACCCACGGUGUCAAAUGACUUGAUGAAAUACUCCAAGGGGGAUGAGGAAGGUGAACCGAACGUUCCCAGAGCCCUCAGAACACAAGUUCCAAAUAUGAGUUUCUUUUUACUUGAAUCUGUUAUUUUUCUCAGCAGGAGAUGAAUCAGAGAAAAGGGGACUCUCUCAAUCAGAUGAAAAAAAAAAUUUGGAGAUCUGAUGAAAUACAUAGCAUUGCAACUUUUUUUUAACAAUUUUUUAAAAUCUAAUAGAAAGUGUUAGGGUACCUACUAUUUUUUUAAUUGAAGUACAGUUAACUUGCUAUGUUGUGUUAGUUUCAAGGGUACAACAAACUGAUUCAGCUGUACAUAUACAUGUAUCUUUCUAGAUUCUUUUCCAUCAUAAGUUAUUGCAAGAUACUGACUUCCCCGUACUCUACAGUAAAUCCUUGUUGCUCUGUUUUAGGUAGAGUAGUGUGUACCUAUUAAUCUCAUGUUCCUAAUUCAGCCCUCCCAUCCCUUCCCUGUUGGUAACCAUGAGUUUGUUUUUUAUGUCUUGAGAAUCUUUCUGUUUUGUAAAUAAGUUCAUUUGUAUCUUUUUUUAUUUUUUAGAUUCUACAUGUAAGUGAUACUCUAUAUUUGUCCACAGAUAAAAAUGACAUGUAAGGUAGUAGUUGAUGCACACAUUGAGGGAAGGAGCUAAAAUUGUUUUCAGUGGUUUUAAUUAUUUUUAAUUACUUCUCUCUAUAUAUGGAUAUAUAUACACACAGGACACCUAUAUACACACAUAUAUAGGGGCACAUAUACACACUACUCACAAAUAUAUAGAGAGACACACAUAUAUACACAUCUAUAUAUGCAUAUACAUAGUACAGAUAUACAUAAAUACAUAUAUUUACAUAUAUGUGCCUACAUAUGUAUACAUAUAUACAUGCAUAUGAACUUGCCAUAUCCACAUUACCAAUCUUCCGUCUACUUUUUCUUUCUUUAUGACCAGACCAAGAACACCAGCGUCUGUCUGUCUAGCAGGCGCCUUCAGACCCGGAAACACAGCCCUCCCUGCUCCAUCUAUGCUAAAGGCACAGAGCUCCCGCCCACUGCUCUCCAGGGGGGCCAACCCAGCACUGCCAUCACCUACAUUCC